UAGGAGCGCCACUCGACAUCGAACGACGAGGCAUGGAUCCAUCGGCAGCAGAGAUUUUAUUCGUGACUCGUUGGAGGAAAGCAAAGGAAAAAGAAAGAGAGGAAGGGAAAAUAAAUAUUUGCAACGAGAAGAUUAUGGAAAUAUAUAAGAUGUUGAGGAAUUGUUAGAGAAAAAGAAAAGAAGAGAAAAUAUUUGCAAUGAAAACGAAGAUUGUGGAAAUACAUACGAUUUUGAGGAAUUGUUUGAGUAAUAUAAAUAUUUUUUAUUUUCUAGAUUUUAUUCAUGACUCGUUGGAGGAAAGUAAAGAAAAAAAAAAAUGGAAAAUAAAUAUUUGCAACGAGAAGAUUAUUAUGUUGUUUGAGUAAUAUAAAUACUUUUUAUUUUCUAGAUUUUAUUCGUGACUCGUUGAAGGAAAGCAAAGAAAAAAAGAAAAAAAUGGAAAAUAAAUAUUUGCAACGAGAAAAUUAUUAUGUUGUUUGAGUAAUAUAAAUACUUUUUAUUUUCUAGAUUUUAUUCGUGACUCGUUGAAGGAAAGUAAAGAAAAAGAAAAAAAGAAAAGAAGAGAAAAUAAAUGUUUGAGAAGAUUAUGGAAAUAUACACGAUCUUGAAGAAUUGUUAGAGAAAAAGAAAAGAAGAGAAAAUAUUUGCAACGAGAACAAAGAUUGUGGAAAUACAUACGAUUUUGAGGAAUUAUUACGUUGUUUGAGUAAUAUAAAUACUUUUUACUUUUUAGAUUUUAUUCGUGACUCGUUGGACGAAAGCAAAGGAAAAGAAAAAGAAAACGAAGAGAAAAUAAAUAUUUGAGAAGAUUAUGAAAAUAUACACGAUUUUGAGGAAUUGCAUAUGUUUCAGUAAUUGAAACAUUUUUUAUUUUUUAGAUUUUAUUCGUGACUCAUUGGAGAAAAACAAAGAGAAAAAAGAAAAAAAUGGAAAAUAAAUGUUUGUAACGAGAAGAUUAUGGAAAUACACACAAUUCUUAAGGAAUUGUUAGAGAAAAAGAAAAGAAGAGAAAAUAUUUGCAACGAGAUCGAAGAUUGUGGAAAUACACACAAUUUUGAGGAAUUGUUACGUUGUUUAAUUAAUGUAAAUACUUUUUACUUUUUAGAUUUUAUGUGACGUGACUCGUUGAAGGGAAGCAAAGAAUAAAAGAAAAAGAAAACGAAGGGAAAAUUUGCAACGAGCAGAUUAUGGAAAUACACACAAUUCUUGAGGAAUUGUCAUUGGACUGACUCUAUACGCGGAUAUUUACGAAGUCAAAUCUGAUAAAACAUUAAUCACAAUUUCCAUUAAUAAAUUCCAUUAACAAAUUCCAUUAAUUGAUUGAAAGUAGAGAUCUGUUUAGAGAUCAAUCGCAUUUUCUAAACUAUUUUCUCCACUCUUUUUCGUCUCGCCUCCGCGUUAUACUCGACACGAGUCUCCCGAUAUUUAUUAUUUCGGUGUAAUUGGUAAUUAACAAGGAAACAUCGAUACCUCAA